UGAGUUGGCUGUACGCGUGCAAGCAGCGGACAGGAGAAAGUCUCGGGCAGAGCGGAGAGACCGAGAAGGGGCAUACCUAUGGAUCAGUGAAGAGAUAUAAGAGGGGCUUUAUUACUCAGUGCUUUAUAGGUAUGGGCUAGCACUUUGAAUUGACUCCUAUAGCAUACAGGAAGCCAAUGUAAGGACUAACAGAGAGGUGAGGUGUGAGAGGACCGACUAGAGAGGAAAAUCAGUCUGGCGGCACCAUUCAUUACAGACUGUAGUGGGGCAAUAUGGCUUUUGGGAAGACCAAUCAGGAGAGGGUUACAAUAAUCCCUACGGGAAAUUACUAGAGCGUGGACAAGCUUCUCGGUAGCAUCUUGCGUAAGAAAGGGGCUUAUGCAGGCUAUGUUUUUAAGUUGGAAUCUACAGGAUUUGGUAACAGACUGGAUGUGAGGCUCAAAGGUGAGGCCAGAAUGAAGUAUGACACCAAGACAGCGCGCUUGCAAGGAUGGACUGAUGUGGGUACCACUAACUUGAAGGGAGAGCGAAAGAGGAGAAUCCGUAUUAGGAGGAGGAAGGAAAGACAAGAGAUUUAGUUUCAGAAAGCGAGAGGACAUCCAGUCAGAGAUGGAAGAAAGUGACACAUUGCAAGGUGGCAGGGGAGAGGUCCGGGGAGGAGAGAUAUAUCUGGGUGUCAUCAGCGUACAGGUGGUAGCCAAAUGAGGUAAUACGUUUGCCAAGAGAGGCAGUAUAAAGAGAAAAUAGAAGGGGACCAAGGACAGAGCCUUGGGGGACUCCAACCGAGACAGGACGAGGGGAGGAGGUGUCAUUAGAGAAGGAGACACUGAAUGAGCGUUGGGAAAGAUAAGAG